GGGGAAUAUUGCACAAUGGGCGAAAGCCUGACCCAGCAACGCCGCGUGAAGGAAGAAGGCUUUCGGGUUGUAAACUUCUUUGACAGGGGAAGAGUAGAAGACGGUACCCUGAAAACAAGCCACGGCUAACUACGUGCCAGCAGCCGCGGUAAUACGUAGGUGGCAAGCGUUGUCCGGAUUUACUGGGUGUAAAGGGCGUGCAGCCGGGAAGGCAAGUCAGAUGUGAAAUCCGUGGGCUUAACCCACGAACUGCAUUUGAAACUACUUUUCUUGAGUAUCGGAGAGGUAAUCGGAAUUCCUAGUGUAGCGGUGAAAUGCGUAGAUAUUAGGAAGAACACCAGUGGCGAAGGCGGAUUACUGGACGACAACUGACGGUGAGGCGCGAAAGCGUGGGGAGCAAAC
rnacentral:rRNA from 1 species